CAUAACAUCCUUUCAUGUUGGUGCUUUCUGAUUCACAGAUUGUUCAAGUAAACUUUGUUAAAUUUCUUUUGUCAGAAGUUCUUCUUUUAACAAUUGUGUGUUAAGACAUAACUCUGGGAGCGUUUUGCAAAAUGCUUUUGAACAGGGAGAAAAUGUUGGCAUGAGGAUGAGUUUGGAUGCCUUUGAAAUAAUCCAGGCAAUAGAUAACUUUAAGAGAUGGGAGUGUUCCAGGUGGAGUAAAUAGCUUCUGCAGAAGCCCACAAUCUAAAUGCCCAACAGGGAACAUCUGCUUGGAACUCCCUUUGCUUGCUCUUCGCCAGUGCCUUUGACUUUCAUCACACCUGUUCACCAGCUCUAUCAGCUUGGUAGAAGUGAAAGCCCUACUCCUGGCAAUGGGUCAUUUGAGCUUAGAGGAGUGGGCUGGAGAAGAGGAAAUGAUACCAUGUUCUUUUAAGAAAAAAGAGGAAAAAGCCCACAAGAUGAACACUAUGGUGUAUAACCCUGUCAUGUCUUUUUAGCAAUGAACUUUGGAGCCCUGGAAACAAGUAGCCCUAAGUUACAACACUCAAUUUUAAAGUAAGCUUUUCUUCAUGACCCUGGCAAACUCAUCAACUCACUCUCCACCCCCUACCUUCAUGGACUAUCCCACUUUUUAUACAUUCUUUCACUGGCUUGUUUAUUUCCUGACAGGUAGGUGCUAUUUGAUCCUAAAGAAAAAAGAACCAUGGCAAUUUAUUUGGUUGAUUCUUCUGUAAUCCCUAAUUCCUAGUUUAAUUUGCUAAUUUAAUAUAACUUAUGGCCCUAGUUUGUAGAGUUUUCCACUUGUUUUAUACCA
rnacentral:lncRNA from 10 species